UACAGAGGUCCCAAGCGUUGUUCGGAUUCAUUGGGCGUAAAGGGUGUGUAGGUGGCGCCGUAAGUCGGGUGUGAAAUUUCGGAGCUUAACUCCGAAACUGCAUUCGAUACUGCCGUGCUUGAGGACUGGAGAGGAGACUGGAAUUUACGGUGUAGCAGUGAAAUGCGUAGAGAUCGUAAGGAAGACCAGUGGCGAAGGCGGGUCUCUGGACAGUUCCUGACACUGAGGCACGAAGGCCAGGGGAGCAAACGGG
rnacentral:rRNA from 1 species